ensembl:lncRNA
AAAAGUUUGUGGAGAGGCUUUCAUCUCUAAAUGCCUCUGGUCCUUCUGCCAAGCCUCAAAGAAGCUCUGCAUCUUCAUGGACUUUUCGGCAGCAGAAAGCCUCAGAGCGCUGGACAGAAGCACGACCAAACCACCUACAAGGCCUCAUUGAAAAGGAGGCUGUUGGUCAUCCCUUGUGUUGCCUCUGCCCCAAGCCGGCUGUUAUUAGGUGCAGAGAGUGUCUCCCUGAAGAGUGGUUCUGUGGGGACUGCGAUGUACUGCAUCACAAAAAACAGCCACUCCACAACAGGGAAUGUCUGACACGUGGGUUCUUUGAACCCAUUCCUCCAACCACACGCGUCAUGAAAGGGGAGGAUGGAUAUUUCACUCAGGAGCAAGGACGUUAUGACUUGCAUCAGCCACUGUAUGUAUGUCAGACGUGCCAGCAGCAGAGGACCCCUGACAUGAAGCACUUCCUUCAGAGUGGAUAUUGGCCAGCCUCUCUCAAUACUUCCACGUUGUACACGUUGGACCUCUUGAGCUCCUUUCAGGAACUGAAAGUAAUCUCUCCGGGAUUCUCCAGACAGGCCUUCGCAAAGCUCCUGGAGCAUCGCACCAAGUGUGGAGGACGAUCUGGACAUAUCAAAGGUGACACCCUGCAGCGCAGCUUCUUGGAGUUUUCAUAUGCUUCGUUUGAGAAGGACCAACUCUGCUGUGGUGCUGUUCUCACCUGCCCAGCCUGCACACCAGAAAUGUUGGCUGUUUCAGUAGAUGGAAACAGAAAGUUAUAUCGCUUUCGCCGAAAUGGAAGUUCUGGUGACCAUGCCUUUUUUGAAGGUUUAUUUGUGGCUGAAGACAGUGCAGUGUCUGGAUUUGUGGACAUGAUCCAGAAAGCUGUGAAAAAGACACAGGGAAGAGGCACGUGUGGGGACUCCCAAUGGACAGCAGCACGGGAGACAUCAAGAAGGGCAUCCAAAUUGGAUGAAGAGGGCAUGGAGGUUGCUGUGUGUCGCCAUGGUUUCCUUCUUAAAGCCCUUAAUAUGUACAGG